GGGUGGCAGCUCAGUGCCUUGCCCCUGCCUCCUUCCUUGGACUCCAGCACCUGCCGGAGCACAGAGCUUCAGAAACUCCACAUUCAUCUGGUAGGAGACUCCGGGAAACGAGCAACAGAACCCCAGUGUGUUCCCGAGACUCAGCCAGAUGCACACCUCGCUCGAAAUACACAAGAAUUUGAAAGAUGAGGCGCUGGAUCUGAGCGUGUGAGAUAGAGGAAGUCUUCUCUUAACUCCUGCUAUUCUGCCAGGUUCCUGAGUCCGAGGCCCCUUCCCUGCUACCCUGCGCACCCACCAGCCUGGAAGGGUAAGGGUGCCGUGUGACUGUUGAGCACUUGUGAUUGGACCAUCUGGUGCCCCCAGCAAUGCCA